AAGCUCCCCCACAAGUUUUGUGAUGGUUUCCAAACUUGGCUUCACUCAUCACUACAAAAUCUCCCACUCGUCACUACACACGCUCAUUGCCUUUUGGUUCUCAAACAGAAGGAAAGAUGCAUAACUGCGGAGGACCAGAGACGACGAUGAAGCAGCUCCUCCUAUGUCCUAAGCCCCGCCGCGUGUGUCCCUUCGUCCCCGACUUCCUCAAGCCCGUCCAGUGCUCCCUCCACGUACAGCAGAGUUCCGAUGGAAGUAGAGGAGGAGCCGUGAGCACAGUUGAUAAGGAGGAGAGAGAGUGGGGAUGUCCUCCGUUAUGCGUGGCGGGUUCUCCUCCUGUGCGAACUGGGAAUCCUCUCGUACACGAUGUUCAAUUCCACCUUCGCUAUCCUUAUAAUACACAGCGAUGAAUUCAUGUACAUCUUAGUUUUCUAUACGUUACAUUGUGUAGAUAUUUUUUUUAUA